rnacentral:rRNA from 1 species
CGGGGAUACUCAUAUAAGACGAGAAGACCCCAUGGAGCUUCAAACCCAACUACACCCCUAGCUCUUAUAGCCCCACAACCCCCCUAGGCGCCGUGUGCUUGGUUUUAGGUUGGGGCGACCGCGGAGUACAAUAAAACCUCCACAAUGAAUGGGAACACCCCCUUAUCUGAGGGCCACACCCCCUAAGAAUUAGAACACUAACAUAAAAUGAUCCAUUACUUGAUCAAUGAACCAAGUUACCCUGGGGAUAACAGCGCAAUCCAUUUCAAGAGCCCCUAUCGACAAAUGGGUUUACGACCUCGAUGUUGGAUCAGGGUACCCCAGUGGUGCAGCAGCUACUAACGGUUCGUUUGUUCAACGAUUAAAACCCU